AGCACAGACCCUGCGUCCGGGCCGUAGAGGGGCUAGGCGCAGGGGCCUCCGGGAAAUGUAGUCCAGACGCCUUGCUCCUUCCGCCGGCGGCUCGGACGCGAGAGCUGAGAAUACGGGGUUCCCGACUGGGACCCGGAAAGCCAGUUCCCCGUCUCCGGGAGGUGUGGUCCGCGCCCCAGACUCCUCCCAUUGUUCUUGUCGGAGCCAGCGGUCCGAAUGGACUACCACUCCCAGGGUGCCGCGGGCUUCAGACCCUGGGAACCCGGCAGACGCUGGCAAAUGAAGUUAGCCAGUACGGGAGGCGUGGGCUGGAGAAGGGGCAGCAGCAGAGGAUUAGUUUCAGGUCUAGGAGCGACUCGGGAGCCGUUCCGUCGGUGUUGAGACACGAUGUUGUGCGCUCAGGGAGAGGAGACGAGUAACCGAAAGCAGAGCCGGAGCAUGUGCUUCUUUCCAGUUCUGGGCCGGGCGCGCCCAGAUCAGUCAGCGCACCGUGCAUUGCUGUGGAUGGAGCCAGUGCCUCCCAUCUCACAGUUCACCCCGACCCCUGCAAGACCUGACGUGAAGUUUGCCGGGAUGCCGGGCCCUCAUGGCCAAUGGCCUCUGUGGGAGGCCCAGGAACCCGGAGAGAUGGAGAAAGUGUCGGUCCCGCUGGUUAGCACAGCCACCAGGGGGCGCUACAAGAC
rnacentral:lncRNA from 1 species